AGUGAACGCUGGCGGCAGGCCUAACACAUGCAAGUCGAACGGCAGCACAGUAAGAGCUUGCUCUUACGGGUGGCGAGUGGCGGACGGGUGAGGAAUACAUCGGAAUCUACUUUUUCGUGGGGGAUAACGUAGGGAAACUUACGCUAAUACCGCAUACGACCUACGGGUGAAAGCAGGGGAUCUUCGGACCUUGCGCGAUUGAAUGAGCCGAUGUCGGAUUAGCUAGUUGGCGGGGUAAAGGCCCACCAAGGCGACGAUCCGUAGCUGGUCUGAGAGGAUGAUCAGCCACGCUGGAACUGAGACACGGUCCAGACUCCUACGGGAGGCAGCAGUGGGGAAUAUUGGACAAUGGGCGCAAGCCUGAUCCAGCCAUACCGCGUGGGUGAAGAAGGCCUUCGGGUUGUAAAGCCCUUUUGUUGGGAAAGAAAAGCAGCAGGUUAAUACCCCGCUGUUCUGACGGUACCCAAAGAAUAAGCACCGGCUAACUUCGUG
rnacentral:rRNA from 1 species